AGGAAGCUGGGCGGGAGCUGGGUGCCCCUGGAGCAGCUCCCGGAGGAGGAAGGCUGCUCGGGGUCUCGGCCUCCCGCCGCUUGCUGUCACCUCUGCUGCCGUCGCGAGACAGAUCACCACCCGAAAGGCCGGGAGGAAGUGGACAUUCAUCUCACCCUCUCAAACAGGAUCCUUGUGCAAGCCUUUGAGAGGAACCACUUUCACUUUUCUUUCCACAGGGAAGAAUUGGUUCAUCAAACAGGACUUCCUGUACUUCAAAUCAAGUUCUCAGUGGGUGGAAGAUGAUUUGUCCCAAGGUAUAGUUCUUAACUAGAAAGCUCGUCACCCAGAGCAGAGCAGAGGUGGGCCUGGGAAGGCCGCAGCAGAAGGCCCUGAUGCCAGACCAGCCCUCACUGUGCCGUCGGACCAAAACCCCCUGCCCACUGUCCACGACAGCGCUCAUCACUGUCCUCCAUCUGAUCCACUGGAGAGCAUCCCGUCCUUCUACAGCAGCCCCUCCUUCGUCAUCCAGCUUCUUUGUGCCUUGUGCUCCCUCUAGUGGCUGAUGGGCUGGCCAUUGAUGCUCCUGGUGGUCCAAGCCCACCCCCGCUGUGCAGAGUUGAGAACCCUCCACCUCCAGGAAUAGUCCCCUAUGGCUCCUCAGCAGGACUGAGUCCAGGAGGGGGUCUUGCACCCAUUCAUGCAGCACUCACACCCUCCACCCAAGGAGGAGCUUGCCUGCACACUCCAGCUCCAAGGCGCCCCUCAGCCUGACCUCUGACCGCGGCAAUCCUCCACAAACCGUGCAGCAUCUGGCUCAGCCAUGCGCCACCCACAGGGUGAUUCUGCAGCCUGGAUAGACUGAGACACACGCCUGGCAGCAACAGAACCCCUGAGUGAAGACACAUCUCCGUUGGACCCUCAGCACCAGCCCUCAGGCCCAGAGGCUCAGCGAGCCUCUUAGAUGAACUCUUGUCAGACACAGGGCUUCUGGAAAAGGCACAGCCCUUCCUGAGUGCCAGCACCCAGGAAGAGGGACUUUUGGCAAGUUCCUCUGGAAGCACCUCUCAGUGAAGACGAACUCCAGGCCCUCCUGGACACGCUGCCAGGCUCAUGAGGGCCUCAGGAAAGCCAUCUGCCGAGCCCCUUUCAGGCUUCCUUUCCUGGGAUGCAGAGGCAAGGCUGAGAAGACAGGAACCAGCAAUGCUCCUUGGGUUCAGCAGUAAGGCCAAGGUGCCCAGACUGUCGGUGGCACUUACAGAAGGAGGAGGCUCAGAGAAAGGGCCUCCAGUCUGACUGAUUACCAGCCCUGCCUUGUGAGGAGGCUGCGAGCCACUGUGAUGGGGCCCAGAGGUCCCGGGGCUAGUGCUGGCCCACUGAUGACCCAGGUUCUGGAGUGGGUGAUUGAGGGGCUAGAGGUACUGGAUUGAGUGUUAGCCUGCUGUCGGGCAGGACCAGCUUUUGACACGGCUGACUGUGGGGCCUGCAGUGUCCUGGAGUUGGUGUUGGCCCAGUGGUGUGUGGGGCUGGUGGCUGAGGGGUCCCAGGUGUCUUGGAGCUGGCAUCAACCUCCUGGAGAGUAGGGCUGGGACCCAGGUGAUCCAGAGCUGAUGCCUGCCCACUAGUGGGUGAGGAUGGAUCCUGGGGCGAGUGUCCUCUCACUGUUGCUUUGCAGACACUGCCGCAGUCAAAAAAGAUGUCUCCAGUGCAGACUUGAAACUAGUUUUAUGGUUUGUGAUGCCUCAUUUUGAGGCUCAGAAGUAUCUGGAAGUUUCUGUAGCUGAUGCUAAUUCAGAUUUUACGGACAGAUCAUGCAGUCCUGUAAAUAAAGAUCACGCUUGAACUGAAGUUAAUUCGAGCAGUAAAAGGUAGAGCAAAAACAUAGGUUUGCGUGCUAGCUUUCUUGUUGAAAAUCGGUGCAUCACUGACACUGAACUGGUGGGUUCCUGACACUGUCUGGAAUCCAUUCUUAUCUGUUUGGUUAGACUGACUACUUUCACAGCUGCAGGUGCCAGCUCUCCCUUCAGUUGUGGCUCAAGCCAGUCCAAAGGAAUCUACUUUCUUCUUUUCUUCAGGGUACAGUGGUUUCAUUAGGGAUUGUUCAUGGAAUGGAUACACGUAGAAGGGAAGAGAAGGAAGCAAGAUUGGGCAGAAAGAGAAGGUAGGCUGUGAUAAAGUCUCAUUCAACCCCAUGGAAAUUCUGAAGGUGGGGUGACUCUUCAGAAGUGGCAAAAUUGGCUCUCAGAAUGUACACAUAUAUAUCUCCCAGUCAGGUUCAAGUCUAAUAGAAAAGUGAGUGUGCCUCUCCCAGUGGUCCUAACAAAAUCCUUACUACACUCAUUUGGGCUCUAACUGGAUUCAUAAACCAAUCUAUGUCCAGAAGAUGUGAUAAUCUCAUUGGUUGAUCCAGAGUCACAUGCUCAUCCUUAGUGCCAGAAGUGACAUCAACUCCACCUGAAGCAUGCAUACUGAAAAUUGGAGAGUCUGUGAUUCCUGUGGUAGAAGAUCUAAGGGUGCCAGGAAUGAAUGGAUGCUGGACCGUAAAAGCCUAAACAAAUGACUGUUCUUUAAUCAAAUAAAAGGUGUUAACAUACAAACGGCUUCUGGUAUGGCAGGUGCAUUCUAAGAAUGAAAGGCACAAUGAUGUGGGAUGCAACGUGCAUUUCAAGGUUUCUGAAACAAAUGAAGAUGUUUUUAAAUGUUCUCUGGGAAAAAAUAAAUAAAUAUGCUAGGUAAAUAGGGGGGAAAAAUCCACUGAAUGAGUCUCAAGCUGGGUUUUAAACCUUAUUCGUAGAGAGGCUUCUGAGCUGUUAGAUUAUUCUGUUUAUUGAUCUCGAUGGUGGUUUUAUAGAUACAUUCACUUUGCAAAAGUUCAAAAAGCUAUAUGUUUAUGACUUAUGCCUCUUUCUGCAUAUAUAUGUUACAUUUUAAGAAAAAGUUUCUUUAAAAAGUAAAAGAAAGAAAAAAGAAAUCUCAUGUAGCAUAAGGCAUAGAUAAUAAGAUCGCAUCAUUCUUUCUUCAUGUCUUUUCUUUCUGUCCAUAAUCUUGGACACGUUACAAUCUCUCUAUUGCUGGGUGUUCAUUGCAUGAAGAACAACUUCAUCAAGGGUGAUUUUUAUGAUAAUUGAGUUCCCCUACAACCCCCCCACCACUGCUAGCACAUAAAAUUUAGUUUUUUAAGGGUGUAUCAUGAAGACUGUUAUUAAAGCAACCGUUUUUAAAAUGUGUAUUUAUA